ACUUUUGAUUUCAAAGAUUUCAAGUGGAAGAUUUUAGUGUCACAAUUUAUAUAUUUGUAUGUGUUUGAGCCCAUAAGUGGAUUGGAUAUUGAAUGUACAUGUACAGUCAAUUGAACAUCCUUGAGUAAUAUAUGAAUUAUUUAUCCAAAGUGUUGUGAAUGCUUUAGAUAUGCUUUUGAUAUAGUAUUGAAUUUUUUCUUCCUUUCAUAUGAUCCAAUAAAUAAAUAAAGAUCAAAUACGGUAGCUUGUGACCUGGUACUGUAAAUACAUUUGGUACCUCUAAUCGAAACAAAAAUAUUUUAUGCUCAUAAAUCAUUUAUUCAACUAUAGUCUAAUGAAAAAACAUUGCAGCUCUUUUUUAAAAUUUCCUGUACCUUUGCGGUGAUUUGCUCUAUGAUCUUUUGAUGCAUAUAUUACAUGUAGAUGAAAUACUAGUAAACCAUGCAUGUCAAAAUAUUUUUAUCUGCAUACAAAAUUAUUAUAAUUAUUCUUAUGAUAAGUACAAUAUACACUGUUUACAUAUUUGUUAAUACCAUAUUUGCAAGUAACUUCUUAUUUAUCUGUCAAUUUUUGUUGAUCAAUAUACAAAUACUUCAU
rnacentral:misc_RNA from 1 species